CCUACGGGUGGCAGCAGUGGGGAAUAUUGCACAAUGGGGGAAACCCUGAUGCAGCGACGCCGCGUGAGUGAAGAAGUAUUUCGGUAUGUAAAGCUCUAUCAGCAGGAACGAGACAAGACGGUACCUUACUAACAAGCCCCGGCUAACUACGUGCCAGCAGCCGCGGUAAUACGUAGGGGGCAAGCGUUAUCCGGAAUCACUGGGUGUAAAGGGAGCGUAGACGGCUGUGCAAGCCUGAAGUGAAAGUCGGGGGCCCAACCCCUGGACUGCUUUGGGAACUGUACGGCUGGAGUGCAGGAGAGGUGAGUGGAAUUCCUGGUGUAGCGGUGAAAUGCGUAGAUAUUAGGAGGAACACCAGUGGCGAAGGCGGCUUACUGGACUGUAACUGACGUUGAGGCUCGAAAGCGUGGGGAGCAAACAGGAUUAGAUACCCGUGUAGUC
rnacentral:rRNA from 1 species